rnacentral:lncRNA from 1 species
GAGGAUUCAGGAGGCCUUCGAUAUGUGGUACACUGGACCAACAGGUUUGACUCAAAUUCCAUGAGAGAUUUUUACCUUUCUUCAGUGGCAGCUGGAGGCAGGCAGGUGUCCAUGUUUAGGCAGCUGGACCUGGCCCAUAUUGACCAUUGCAAUGAAUACACUUUGAGGAUGGAUCUCAAAUCAGUGGGCUGACAUAUCAGAUUUCUGUCAGCACGGUCAGUCAGUCUCUUGAAAUGCCUUAUGGGCACAGCAGAUGAUUCAACGUAUAAGAGAGAUAUUGGGAAGCUGAAAUCUGACUAUGUGGCUGCCAUUGGGAUAAAAAUGCUUCAGGUGAUUUUCCCUGCAACUGUCAUCCCACAGAUGACAGCAGACUAUGAGAUAGGAGACAUCAGAACCCAUAGAUCCAAUCCUUGUUGCUUCAUGGUUGAGAGGAAAACGCAAGUUACCUAUGAAGUCCCAGAGCAGACUGUUUAAUGGAUUUUGAUGAUGUAAACAGUGAAAGGUUAGAUAAUUUGGAUACUAAUGAUCUCUUGACAGUCCUUUGUGGGGAACCCCUUUGUCUAGUCCCAUGCAAGUUUGACAUGGACUUUCUGAGACUCUGUCUUGGACUGUCUGAAACUAGUCAUCUCAGUACCACUGAGUGGUAGGAUUUCAUAGUCUGAAAGCACCUUACUCAAGAGCUUUGUUCCACCUUAGCAGGCUGAAAAGGUCAAUAUUAUAAUACCACCACAGCUCAAAUUGUGCAACAGCUGUCCAGGAAUGCAAAGAAGAAAGGGAACCACUGACUUCUCACUCCAUAACCCCACAAAGCCCCAGAUUGUGUGUGGCCACAUGGAUACAGUACCAUUCCUGCUCUGCCUGCUGAGUCAGGAUGCUCUGCCAAUGGAGGCCUUGGAAAGAAGAGACAAAUUCAGCCACCAUCUGGAAACAAGCUGUGAAGGAAACACCUUCUCCAUAAGAAAAUGGAAAAGAAACAGGAGGCCAACUGAAUUCAAAAAACACAUCAAACUGAAGUUUCAUUUCAAUCAAAAAGAAAGGUAGGUGAAAAUUGUGCAUGUGAAAAUACUGUGGGAUGAUAUAGAGGGUAGAGGGUUUGUCCAGCAUAGUUAGUGGUUUUUAACCUGUGACACCUAGACUCCUGGGAACUGUAAAUUCUGUCAUAAGAAUGUAAAAUGGGAAAUUAAGAAAAGCCGGGCAAUUAUUUGUCAAUAAGCUUCAAUUUUUCUGUAUGCUACUGAAAAAUGGCUAAGCUUCCAGAAGUAGAAAUGGUUGAAAACCACAUCUCUAGUACAUUAGCUUAUCCCUGUAGGAAUGUUUGAAUGGGUUGAACUGUAUUUGGUAUAGCUGUCUUCAGGUUACAAGGUCAUGCUUUGACUAGACCUGUCCUUUAAUGAACCAGAACUCUCUGAAUUUAUUCCAGGUAGGAUUGCUAGUUUAAAAACAAACAAACGAACAAAAC